GCGGACUUCCUGGCCACCGCCGCCACCUUCUAGUCCAUCUCCGUACGUGCGCGUCUGUCUCCUCCCCCCUAUGGCGCCACCGAAGAUCGAUCAGGAGCAGGGGAGCCAGGAACCAGUGACUGUGUUUGGGAGAAUGAAAUGCCUCGAGUACGAUCGAUCAUGCAUGUUAUAGUAUGUGAUAGAGAUGGUAGUGGACUAGUGGUGGUAGUGGUUGGUUUGUUGGUGUUGUAUUGAACCUAUGUUUUUCGCUGUAUGGAUAUGACGCAAUAAUUCCACACUUACGGAUGCAGCUAUGGAUGACGUAUCGACCUGACCUUU
rnacentral:lncRNA from 1 species